UACGUAGGGUGCAAGCGUUGUCCGGAAUUAUUGGGCGUAAAGAGCUCGUAGGCGGUCUGUCGCGUCGGAUGUGAAAACCCAGGGCUCAACCCUAGGCCUGCAUUCGAUACGGGCAGACUAGAGUUCGGUAGGGGAGACUGGAAUUCCUGGUGUAGCGGUGAAAUGCGCAGAUAUCAGGAGGAACACCGGUGGCGAAGGCGGGUCUCUGGGCCGAAACUGACGCUGAGGAGCGAAAGCGUGGGGAGCAAACAGG
rnacentral:rRNA from 1 species